rnacentral:rRNA from 1 species
GAUUAAGUUAUUAAGGGCGCACGGUGGAUGCCUUGGCACUAGAAGCCGAUGAAGGACGUUACUAACGACGAUAUGCUUUGGGGAGCUGUAAGUAAGCUUUGAUCCAGAGAUUUCCGAAUGGGGAAACCCAGCAUGAGUUAUGUCAUGUUAUCGAUAUGUGAAUACAUAGCAUAUCAGAAGGCACACCCGGAGAACUGAAACAUCUUAGUACCCGGAGGAAGAGAAAGAAAAUUCGAUUCCCUUAGUAGCGGCGAGCGAAACGGGAAGAGCCCAAACCAACAAGCUUGCUUGUUGGGGUUGUAGGACACUCUAUACGGAGUUACAAAGGACGACAUUAGACGAAUCAUCUGGAAAGAUGAAUCAAAGAAGGUAAUAAUCCUGUAGUCGAAAAUGUUGUCUCUCUUGAGUGGAUCCUGAGUACGACGGAGCACGUGAAAUUCCGUCGGAAUCUGGGAGGACCAUCUCCUAAGGCUAAAUACUCUCUAGUGACCGAUAGUGAACCAGUACCGUGAGGGAAAGGUGAAAAGCACCCCGGAAGGGGAGUGAAAUAGAACCUGAAACCGUGUGCUUACAAGUAGUCAGAGCCCGUUAAUGGGUGAUGGCGUGCCUUUUGUAGAAUGAACCGGCGAGUUACGAUUUGAUGCAAGGUUAAGCAGUAAAUGUGGAGCCGUAGCGAAAGCGAGUCUGAAUAGGGCGUUUAGUAUUUGGUCGUAGACCCGAAACCAGGUGAUCUACCCUUGGUCAGGUUGAAGUUCAGGUAACACUGAAUGGAGGACCGAACCGACUUACGUUGAAAAGUGAGCGGAUGAACUGAGGGUAGCGGAGAAAUUCCAAUCGAACCUGGAGAUAGCUGGUUCUCUCCGAAAUAGCUUUAGGGCUAGCCUCAAGUGAUGAUUAUUGGAGGUAGAGCACUGUUUGGACGAGGGGCCCCUCUCGGGUUACCGAAUUCAGACAAACUCCGAAUGCCAAUUAAUUUAACUUGGGAGUCAGAACAUGGGUGAUAAGGUCCGUGUUCGAAAGGGAAACAGCCCAGACCACCAGCUAAGGUCCCAAAAUAUAUGUUAAGUGGAAAAGGAUGUGGCGUUGCCCAGACAACUAGGAUGUUGGCUUAGAAGCAGCCAUCAUUUAAAGAGUGCGUAAUAGCUCACUAGUCGAGUGACACUGCGCCGAAAAUGUACCGGGGCUAAACAUAUUACCGAAGCUGUGGAUUGUCCUUUGGACAAUGGUAGGAGAGCGUUCUAAGGGCGUUGAAGCAUGAUUGUAAGGACAUGUGGAGCGCUUAGAAGUGAGAAUGCCGGUGUGAGUAGCGAAAGACGGGUGAGAAUCCCGUCCACCGAUUGACUAAGGUUUCCAGAGGAAGGCUCGUCCGCUCUGGGUUAGUCGGGUCCUAAGCUGAGGCCGACAGGCGUAGGCGAUGGAUAACAGGUUGAUAUUCCUGUACCACCUAUAAUCGUUUUAAUCGAUGGGGGGACGCAGUAGGAUAGGCGAAGCGUGCGAUUGGAUUGCACGUCUAAGCAGUAAGGCUGAGUAUUAGGCAAAUCCGGUACUCGUUAAGGCUGAGCUGUGAUGGGGAGAAGACAUUGUGUCUUCGAGUCGUUGAUUUCACACUGCCGAGAAAAGCCUCUAGAUAGAAAAUAGGUGCCCGUACCGCAAACCGACACAGGUAGUCAAGAUGAGAAUUCUAAGGUGAGCGAGCGAACUCUCGUUAAGGAACUCGGCAAAAUGACCCCGUAACUUCGGGAGAAGGGGUGCUCUUUAGGGUUAACGCCCAGAAGAGCCGCAGUGAAUAGGCCCAAGCGACUGUUUAUCAAAAACACAGGUCUCUGCUAAACCGUAAGGUGAUGUAUAGGGGCUGACGCCUGCCCGGUGCUGGAAGGUUAAGAGGAGUGGUUAGCUUCUGCGAAGCUACGAAUCGAAGCCCCAGUAAACGGCGGCCGUAACUAUAACGGUCCUAAGGUAGCGAAAUUCCUUGUCGGGUAAGUUCCGACCCGCACGAAAGGCGUAACGAUUUGGGCACUGUCUCAACGAGAGACUCGGUGAAAUCAUAGUACCUGUGAAGAUGCAGGUUACCCGCGACAGGACGGAAAGACCCCGUGGAGCUUUACUGUAGCCUGAUAUUGAAAUUCGGCACAGCUUGUACAGGAUAGGUAGGAGCCUUUGAAACGUGAGCGCUAGCUUACGUGGAGGCGCUGGUGGGAUACUACCCUAGCUGUGUUGGCUUUCUAACCCGCACCACUUAUCGUGGUGGGAGACAGUGUCAGGCGGGCAGUUUGACUGGGGCGGUCGCCUCCUAAAAGGUAACGGAGGCGCUCAAAGGUUCCCUCAGAAUGGUUGGAAAUCAUUCAUAGAGUGUAAAGGCAUAAGGGAGCUUGACUGCGAGACCUACAAGUCGAGCAGGGUCGAAAGACGGACUUAGUGAUCCGGUGGUUCCGCAUGGAAGGGCCAUCGCUCAACGGAUAAAAGCUACCCCGGGGAUAACAGGCUUAUCUCCCCCAAGAGUUCACAUCGACGGGGAGGUUUGGCACCUCGAUGUCGGCUCAUCGCAUCCUGGGGCUGUAGUCGGUCCCAAGGGUUGGGCUGUUCGCCCAUUAAAGCGGUACGCGAGCUGGGUUCAGAACGUCGUGAGACAGUUCGGUCCCUAUCCGUCGUGGGCGUAGGAAAUUUGAGAGGAGCUGUCCUUAGUACGAGAGGACCGGGAUGGACAUACCUCUGGUGUACCAGUUGUCGUGCCAACGGCAUAGCUGGGUAGCUAUGUGUGGACGGGAUAAGUGCUGAAAGCAUCUAAGCAUGAAGCCCCCCUCAAGAUGAGAUUUCCCAACUUCGGUUAUAAGAUC